GCGGGGGUAGCAGAGCCAGGUCAACCUUCACGAAGGGGCCUCAUGCGCGGGACUCAAGAUCCCGUCCCGAAGGGGUUCGUGGGUUCAAAUCCCACCCCCCGCACCA
rnacentral:tRNA from 2 species